rnacentral:snoRNA from 1 species
AGCCUCCUAGUGCUUACCACAGGCUGUGUUCUUAUACUGACUGUAUAGAAAGAGAAGGCAAAGUAAAUCUACCCCAUAUACACCUCAGCCCAGGCCCUGGGGCCUGAUCUGUAUUGUGAAUGGAGAGACAUGG